GGGGAAUAUUGGACAAUGGGGGCAACCCUGAUCCAGCCAUGCCGCGUGUGUGAAGAAGGCCUUCGGGUUGUAAAGCACUUUAAGCAGGGAGGAAGGCUUGAAGAUUAAUAAUCUUCAGGAGUGACGUCACCUGCAGAAUAAGCACCGGCAAACUCCGUGCCAGCAGCCGCGGUAAUACGGAGGGUGCGAGCGUUAAUCGGAAUUACUGGGCGUAAAGCGUGCGUAGGCGGUUUAUUAAGUCGCAUGUGAAAUCCCCGGGCUCAACCUGGGUGCUGCAUUCGAUACUGGUAGACUCGAAUACGGUAGAGGGGGGUGGAAUUCCAGGUGUAGCGGUGAAAUGCGUAGAGAUCUGGAGGAACACCAGUGGCGAAGGCGGCCCCCUGGACCGAUAUUGACGCUGAGGCACGAAAGCGUGGGGAGCAAAC
rnacentral:rRNA from 1 species